rnacentral:rRNA from 1 species
CAAAUGACUCUCGGCAACAGAUAUCUCGGCUCUCGUUAUGAUGAAAAACGUAGCAAAAUGCGAUACUUAGUGUGAAUUGCAGAAUCCCAUGAAUCACUCAGUCUUUGAAUGCAAUUUGCGCCCGAGACCUCAGUCGAGGGCAUGUUUGUUUGGGUGUCGCAU